UGACUUGAGUUCAGACCUGUGCUAAUGCGAUAAGCCUGGUGACAAAUGAUGGCUUGGACUGGGUAGUGGCAGUGAGAGUAGUGAGGAGUUGGACAUGAGCAGCUGAAUUUAGGCUAGGAGAUUGAGUUGGGGGGGAUCCUAACACCAUCUCAAGAUGCAGGGCCCCACAGUUCGUGAGAAAUCAUUGGAGGAAGAAACUUUUUGGGGAGUAGUAUCUGGAUCAUGGUCAUGUUUGAGACAAUGUUGGGACUGGAACUUGGAUUAGGAUCUGAUCUGGGGCCAGUAAGAGGGUCAGAGUGAGAUUCAUUGGUCUCUGAGAAGAUCAGAGUUGGAUUCUGGGUCUUAGGAGCAUUAUAGCGAUUUUAGGGUGAGGACUAGUUUGGGGUCAAAGUUGUUGAUGGAGGCCAGUAUACUUUUUCUGCAUCUUCCCAUCAUACCAGGGUUGGUUGUACCCACCAUGUCCUGUCCCAUGGAGUUCACCUAAGGAAUUAGAGGAGUAUGGAGGCUCUAGGAUCUUCUUUUCCUUGGGUGUCAUGGAGCUGGAUACAGGCUCAGCCCUGCCUGGGUGAAGCCUGCUGGCCUUCCUAAGCUGGGACCUGUAGUCAGGGAAGGGUGGAAAGGGUCCUCAGUGCUUGACUUAGGUCCUUUCU